GGGUUGUGAGGUUAAGCGACUAAGCGUACACGGUGGAUGCCCUGGCAGUCAGAGGCGAUGAAGGGCGNNCUAAUCUGCGAUAAGCGCCGGUAAGGUGAUAUGAACCGUUAUAACCGGCGAUACCCGAAUGGGGAAACCCAGUGUGAUUCGUCACACUAUCAUUAACUGAAUCCAUAGGUUAAUGAGGCGAACCGGGGGAACUGAAACAUCUAAGUACCCCGAGGAAAAGAAAUCAACCGAGAUUCCCCCAGUAGCGGCGAGCGAACGGGGAGGAGCCCAGAGCCUGAAUCAGCAUGUGUGUUAGUGGAAGCGUCUGGAAAGGCGCGCGAUACAGGGUGACAGCCCCGUACACAAAAGCGCAUGUGCUGUGAGCUCGAUGAGUAGGGCGGGACACGUGGUAUCCUGUCUGAAUAUGGGGGGACCAUCCUCCAAGGCUAAAUACUCCUGACUGACCGAUAGUGAACCAGUACCGUGAGGGAAAGGCGAAAAGAACCCCGGCGAGGGGAGUGAAAAAGAACCUGAAACCGUGUACGUACAAGCAGUGGGAGCACCCUUUGGGUGUGACUGCGUACCUUUUGUAUAAUGGGUCAGCGACUUAUAUUCUGUAGCAAGGUUAACCGAAUAGGGGAGCCGGAGGGAAACCGAGUCUUAAUUGGGCGUUAAGUUGCAGGGUAUAGACCCGAAACCCGGUGAUCUAGCCAUGGGCAGGUUGAAGGUUGGGUAACACUAACUGGAGGACCGAACCGACUAAUGUUGAAAAAUUAGCGGAUGACCUGUGGCUGGGGGUGAAAGGCCAAUCAAACCGGGAGAUAGCUGGUUCUCCCCGAAAGCUAUUUAGGUAGCGCCUCGUGAAUUCAUCUCCGGGGGUAGAGCACUGUUUCGGCUAGGGGGCCAUCCCGGCUUACCAACCCGAUGCAAACUGCGAAUACCGGAGAAUGUUAUCACGGGAGACACACGGCGGGUGCUAACGUCCGUCGUGAAGAGGGAAACAACCCAGACCGCCAGCUAAGGUCCCAAAGUCAUGGUUAAGUGGGAAACGAUGUGGGAAGGCCCAGACAGCCAGGAUGUUGGCUUAGAAGCAGCCAUCAUUUAAAGAAAGCGUAAUAGCUCACUGGUCGAGUCGGCCUGCGCGGAAGAUGUAACGGGGCUAAACCAUGCACCGAAGCUGCGGCAGCGACACUGUGUGUUGUUGGGUAGGGGAGCGUUCUGUAAGCCUGCGAAGGUGGCCUGUGAGGGUUGCUGGAGGUAUCAGAAGUGCGAAUGCUGACAUAAGUAACGAUAAAGCGGGUGAAAAGCCCGCUCGCCGGAAGACCAAGGGUUCCUGUCCAACGUUAAUCGGGGCAGGGUGAGUCGACCCCUAAGGCGAGGCCGAAAGGCGUAGUCGAUGGGAAACGGGUUAAUAUUCCCGUACUUGGUGUUACUGCGAAGGGGGGACGGAGAAGGCUAUGUUGGCCGGGCGACGGUUGUCCCGGUUUAAGCGUGUAGGUGUGUGUUCCAGGUAAAUCCGGUUCACUUUAACACUGAGGCGUGACGACGAGGCACUACGGUGCUGAAGCAACAAAUGCCCUGCUUCCAGGAAAAGCCUCUAAGCAUCAGGUAACAUCAAAUCGUACCCCAAACCGACACAGGUGGUCAGGUAGAGAAUACCAAGGCGCUUGAGAGAACUCGGGUGAAGGAACUAGGCAAAAUGGUGCCGUAACUUCGGGAGAAGGCACGCUGACACGUAGGUGAAGUGAUUUACUCAUGGAGCUGAAGUCAGUCGAAGAUACCAGCUGGCUGCAACUGUUUAUUAAAAACACAGCACUGUGCAAACACGAAAGUGGACGUAUACGGUGUGACGCCUGCCCGGUGCCGGAAGGUUAAUUGAUGGGGUCAGCGCAAGCGAAGCUCCUGAUCGAAGCCCCGGUAAACGGCGGCCGUAACUAUAACGGUCCUAAGGUAGCGAAAUUCCUUGUCGGGUAAGUUCCGACCUGCACGAAUGGCGUAAUGAUGGCCAGGCUGUCUCCACCCGAGACUCAGUGAAAUUGAACUCGCUGUGAAGAUGCAGUGUACCCGCGGCAAGACGGAAAGACCCCGUGAACCUUUACUAUAGCUUGACACUGAACAUUGAGCCUUGAUGUGUAGGAUAGGUGGGAGGCUUUGAAGUGUGGACGCCAGUCUGCAUGGAGCCGACCUUGAAAUACCACCCUUUAAUGUUUGAUGUUCUAACGUGGACCCGUUACCCGGGUUGCGGACAGUGUCUGGUGGGUAGUUUGACUGGGGCGGUCUCCUCCUAAAGAGUAACGGAGGAGCACGAAGGUUGGCUAAUCCUGGUCGGACAUCAGGAGGUUAGUGCAAUGGCAUAAGCCAGCUUGACUGCGAGCGUGACGGCGCGAGCAGGUGCGAAAGCAGGUCAUAGUGAUCCGGUGGUUCUGAAUGGAAGGGCCAUCGCUCAACGGAUAAAAGGUACUCCGGGGAUAACAGGCUGAUACCGCCCAAGAGUUCAUAUCGACGGCGGUGUUUGGCACCUCGAUGUCGGCUCAUCACAUCCUGGGGCUGAAGUAGGUCCCAAGGGUAUGGCUGUUCGCCAUUUAAAGUGGUACGCGAGCUGGGUUUAGAACGUCGUGAGACAGUUCGGUCCCUAUCUGCCGUGGGCGCUGGAGAACUGAGGGGGGCUGCUCCUAGUACGAGAGGACCGGAGUGGACGCAUCACUGGUGUUCGGGUUGUCAUGCCAAUGGCACUGCCCGGUAGCUAAAUGCGGAAGAGAUAAGUGCUGAAAGCAUCUAAGCACGAAACUUGCCCCGAGAUGAGUUCUCCCUGAGACUUAAAGUCUCCUGAAGGAACGUUGAAGACGACGACGUUGAUAGGCCGGGUGUGUAAGCGCAGCGAUGCGUUGAGCUAACCGGUACUAAUGAACCGUGAGGCUUAACCUUACAACGCCGAAG
rnacentral:rRNA from 1 species